GACGGAAGGUGCAAGCGUUGCUCGGAAUCACUGGGCGUAAAGGGUGCGUAGGCGGCCGCGCAAGUCUGGCGUGAAAGCCCCGGGCUCAGCCCGGGAAGGGCGCUCGAAACGGCGCGGCUCGAGUGCCGGAGGGGAGAGUGGAAUUCCUGGUGUAGCGGUGAAAUGCGUAGAUAUCAGGAGGAACACCGGUGGCGAAGGCGGGUCUCUGGGCCGAUAUCGACGCUGAGGAGCGAAAGCGUGGGGAGCGAACAGG
rnacentral:rRNA from 1 species